rnacentral:rRNA from 1 species
GACGAACGCUGGCGGCGUGCCUAAUACAUGCAAGUAGAACGCAGUUGCGAACGGGUGAGUCACGCGUAGGUAACUGCCUCAUAGCGGGGGAUAACUAUUGGAAACGAUAGCUAAUACCGCAUACUGUGAGAUGGACCUGCGUUUUAUUAGCUAGUUGGUGAGGUAAAGGUGCACCAAGGAGACGAUACAUAGCCGACCUGAGAGGGUGAUCGGCUACAAUGGGACGGGGAAACGGCGCAGGAUCCGACGGGAGGCAGCAGGAGGGAAUUGUCGGCAAGGGACGGAAGGAUGACCGAGCAACUCCGCGUGAGUGAAGAAGGUUUUCGGAACGUAAAGCUCUGUUGUGAGAGGAGCGGUAACUAACCAGAAAGGGACGGCUAACUACGUGCCAGCAGCCGCGGUAAUUC